GAUGAACGCUGGCGGCGUGCCUAAUACAUGCAAGUCGAGCGAACAGACGAGGAGCUUGCUCCUCUGACGUUAGCGGCGGACGGGUGAGUAACACGUGGAUAACCUACCUAUAAGACUGGGAUAACUUCGGGAAACCGGAGCUAAUACCGGAUAAUAUAUUGAACCGCAUGGUUCAAUAGUGAAAGACGGUUUUGCUGUCACUUAUAGAUGGAUCCGCGCCGCAUUAGCUAGUUGGUAAGGUAACGGCCUACCAAGGCAACGAUGCGUAGCCGACCUGAGAGGGUGAUCGGCCACACUGGAACUGAGACACGGUCCAGGCUCCUACGGGAGGCAGCAGUAGGGAAUCUUCCGCAAUGGGCGAAAGCCUGACGGAGCAACGCCGCGUGAGUGAUGAAGGUCUUCGGAUCGUAAAACUCUGUUAUUAGGGAAGAACAAAUGUGUAAGUAACUAUGCACGUCUUGACGGUACCUAAUCAGAAAGCCACGGCUAACUACGUG
rnacentral:rRNA from 1 species